UUAACCUUCGGUCUAGCAACAUUUGAUUUAAUCGAGUUGGCAACACUGACUGAAAAUUAUAAAAGGACAAAAUGGACGCCAAGUGAGCUAACGGCCAACGCCCAAGAACUCUUUCAAAUUUCAAUAUUGAAUAAUGAAUUGUUAAAUGGUGACAAUUAUCAUACAUGGAAGUUUCGAAUCCUUACAUUAUUAGAAGAAAAGGAUUGUUUAGAAUGUAUAGAUGUAACAUUUCAGAAGAAAAUAAGUGAGAGUCACAAUGCAAUGAAAGAUAAAAAAUGUAAGUCGUAUAUUAUUCAAUGCGUCCACGAUUCCCAAUUGGAUAUGAUAUAAUUAGAAAUAAAAACACUGCUUAUUGAAUGUGGGACACUAUAGAAGAGAGGCCAAGUCAAUUACUACCAAGAAAAAUACUUAUGACUAUGAAACUACAUGGUGAAAAUAACCUUGAAACUUUUUCACUAGAAUUUGAAGAAAAUAUAAGAAAAGUAAAUGCAUGUGGUGUGGAGUUGACAACCCAAGAAAGUAUUUGCUGUUUAUUAUUGGCAAUGCCAAAAAGUUUGGAAACAGUUACCACAAUAUUAGAAAGUAUGCCUUCAAAGGAACUAACUAUAGAUAUAGUGAAAACAAGAUUGAGAUCAGAAGUAGAAAGAAGGGCUGUACUGAAAGAAACAGAUCUUAGAAGUACAAGUAAUAAUAUUCCAUCUGCAUUGGCAAAUAAUAAUACUCCAAAGUUAUUUUACAAUUGUGGGAAACCAGGACAUUUAUAUAAGAAUUGUCGACAUCUACAAGGAAAUGGUAAUAAGUUCAUAGCUGUAGCAAAGAAUAAUAACUAUAUGAAAGCAAUUGGAGUAGGAAAUAUAAAUGUUGAAGUAAAGUUUAUGGUCAGUCUGUAAAUGGUGUUCUAAAAAAUGUAUUUUUAGUUCCAAACAUAAUGCAAAAUUUACUAUCUGUGAAGAAAAUAGAAACACGAGGAAACAAGAUUGAUUUUAAUAAUGGAAUGUGAUAAGCAAAACGUCGUGAAGCGCAUCACAUCUGGCCCAAAUAUUACAACUACUUCCUAGCGAUCACGACCGCUCUGUCAAGAGUGCACCGAAUAGGAAGAAGAUAACCAAGAGGGCUAUCGUGCAAACGCCAUUCACAACUAAGUGCUAAGGAUGAAGAAACCAGGGCAUUAAGACUCCAAGUUAAAGAUACAACUGUUGUUGCUUGACCGUUAUUAUAACAGAACUAUUAUUAUAGCAGAACUAAAUUAUUAUCGUCAAUAACAUCCAAAACAUGACGAUCACGUAUUGAGUCUGAGCCACAACCCCAAGAGGUGUGAUGAGCAUUAAAGUCUCCAUCAGUCAUUGUCAAACUCGAACAUUUUAGAUGUUUAUUUUUAUGUGAACAUAUUAUUCGUUCAGGUGCUUUCUUUGGCAUAUACCUGUAAAA